AAUUUUCACUGUCACCUUGACGAAACCGUUGUUCCACAGUAAAAAUUGGCCUCACCCAGACAUUUCUUUUCGAUUUCUGUUUUGAGAGACUCAUGUAUACUGCUAAUAGUUUUAUUAAUGUUUGUCUUAUUUUUUCUUUACGAUGAUGCAGCAUCGGAUUUCUGAAAUAUAUUUUCAUAAAAUACUUCAUCGCUUCACUCACUAUAAACAUCUUAUUCAUUAUUUUGUUGAAGGUUUGUAAUUCAAAGUACAAAAUGAAACAGAUGCUCCGUCGAAAUUCGUUAGCAGACAUACACAAAUACUCAUUCCACAUCAUGCACGAUUUCAGUAGCUAUUCCGCAUUAUGCAUUACGCUUACUUUGGUGUGCUCUGUUCACAUGGUGCGUCAUAGAAGGUUUAUUGACGUAUCCAAUACUUUAGAAAAUAAAUUUUUAUUUUGGAAGAUUGCUCAUCUUUAUGACAUUGUGUCUCAAAUUGUAUAAAAUAUUAUUUUCGUUACAAUACUUUAUGCAUUCUAAUCAAUUUUUUCAAUUUUUCAAUUUUUAAUUUUAGAUUUCAAAUAUUUUUCAGUCUUUCAUGUCAUUUUUACGUACCAUGUGAACAGAGCACACCAAAGCAAGCGUAAUGCGUAAUGCGGAAUAGCGCUGAUUGACUGUUCUAUGACGCACUCUCUAUUCCGCACGCUCUAUUCCGUACCAUGUGAUUUCAGCCUAACUUUUUACACUGGAAUAGGGACUAGACAAAAUUACUAACUUUUGACCACACAUGGCCGCAUUCAGCAGACUCAACAGUUGGGCAACGUUACUAGAUUUUCCGCUGGCACUCGAUGUUGAUUUGUUGGUUCUAAAAGUUAGAACCAAUUAUGUUUGAUUGCUACUAAGCGGUUGAAGGUGCCUUUUCAUGCAGCGAAUUUUUCGCUGCGAAUGAUUUUUAGCGAGUAGUGAAUAAUUCGCCGCGAAUAGUUUGUGAGCGUCACAUCUGUAUGGUUGCAUGUCAACAAUAGAAAAUCUUGAAAUCUUUGUAAUGGACGACGAGUCGGUUAUAAACUAGACCUGGUAUAACCACCAAUUGCAGUGGUUAUUGCAAUAUGUACAAGCAAAUUAUUAUAUUAUAUUAUAUUGUACAGAAAAGGGAAACUGCUGCAGUUGCAGCUACACUUUUACAUUUGAGCAAAAGUAGAAAAAAAGAUAUUGUAAACAGAAUAUUGGAUAGCACCCAUUUUUUUAUAAAUUUAAUAUAUAAAAUCUUUGUUCUUUACUUACCUUUGUUGAUUGCAUUAUGAUUGCACUAUUUCUUUCGCUCCUUGCGAAUAUUCGCUACAAGCUGAACCUUUUCAGCGAACAACGAUUACUCGCUAGCGAACAGCGAAUGAUCACGUGACUUUCACUCGCGGCGAUUAUUUCGCUGCAUGAAACGGCACCUUCAGUCUGCUGAAUGCGGCCAAUAUUUAAGGGAAAGCUGGGGGUCUAUUUGGUAUCUCUUGGCUCAUGCCCACAGGACGCGGUAACGCGGCAAUGCGGUAAUGCGGCAACGCGGUGACCAAUCACCGUCUUGCAUUUCUAGUAAUACUAAAUAUAUAACUUCCAUAUUACCAGAAAUGCAAGACGGUGAUUGGCCACCGCGUUGCCGCAUUACCGCAUUGCCGCGUCACCGCGUCUUGUGGGCAUGAGCCAAGAUACGCGGAGUGAAAAUGCGAAAAGUGAGCAAAUUCACUAGGUGUUGACCAAUCAAAUUAUAAAUAUUCUAGUAAAUUUGCUCGCUUUCCGCAUUUUCACUCCGCGUUAAGGUGCUAAUUCAUGAGACACUGAAAAGCAGCGUCGAGCGUCGUCACGUGACAUCACAUUGACGCUAGCGUCAGAGAAAAGAAGUCGAAUGAUUUCAGCUUCAAGCGUCAAGGUAGCAGAAAAAACAGCGUCAAUUGAUUAAAACGAAAGUGAAAGAAAUAUGGAAAAGAUAAAAAAUUUUCAUUAUUAAUUAUCAAAAACGAUAUGUUAAUUACGAAAAUGAUAUUAUACACAAUAAUUCAGUUCUAAUGAGUGUGUUAAGAAAUAUACCAGUAAAUACUGUAACCUAACAUUUACGUGCUAAUGUAACGCUGAAAAGCAGUGUUGAAUGUCGACACUGGAACGUCGACGCUGGAAAUUCGACGCUGAAUCUAUUGGCGCACUAUUGGCGCGAUUUGAUCACGUGACCUGUUUUGACGCUAAAAAUGAGCGUCGAGCGUCAGCAUGAAAAAGCACCUUUAGAGAUACCUAAGACCCCCUGGAGUCGUCCGUAACUCUGUAUUACCGGCAAAAUUUGUUUUAAUAACAUUCAAUAAUAGCUUUCCAUUUGCACUUUCCAAUACGUCCCAGCAAACACAGAAUAUAACUAUUAUAUAUCUCAGAAGUAACACGUAAGGGUGCGUUCAGGAUGAUGCUAUUAGCGCUAUUUAACGCUGAAAAUCUAUAGGUCAUGUCACGUAUAUUAUAGAUUUUCAGUGCUACAUAGCGCUAAUAGCGUCAUCCUGAACGUACCCGUAAUAUAACAAUUGUUAUACACUAUUAAUAUCCCAGCCAGCAAAACGGUAACAUAAUGAGCUCUUAAAGAGGUCAUAUUUGAGAGUAUGAUGUCUUACAAUACCAUCAAAAAGAUAUCAUAAUGAUAUCAUAAUGUUGCCCAAUGCGUCGAUUUUAGAG